rnacentral:rRNA from 1 species
ACAGGGAUUACCUCAGUAACGGCGAGUGAAGCGGUAACAGCUCAAAUUUGAAAUCUGGGUCUUUCAGGCUCCGAGUUGUAAUUUGUAGAAGAUGCUUCGGGUGCGGCUCCGGUCUAAGUUCCUUGGAACAGGACGUCAUAGAGGGUGAGAAUCCCGUAUGUGAUCGGUUGCUUGCGCCCAUGUGAAGCUCUUUCGACGAGUCGAGUUGUUUGGGAAUGCAGCUCAAAAUGGGUGGUAGAUUUCAUCUAAAGCUAAAUAUUGGCCAGAGUCCGAUAGCGCACAAGUAGAGUGAUCGAAAGAUGAAAAGCACUUUGGAAAGAGAGUUAAACAGUACGUGAAAUUGUUGAAAGGGAAGCGCUUGCAACCAGACUUGCGCGUUGCUGAUCAUCCGGGGUUCUCCCCGGUGCACUCGGCCUCGCUCAGGCCAGCAUCGGUUUCGGUGGUGGGAUAAAGGCCUUGGGAAUGUAGCUUCUUUCGGGGAGUGUUAUAGCCCUCGGUGCAAUGCCGCCUACCGGGACCGAGGACCGCGCUNCGGCUAGNAUGCUGNCNUAAYKRUUGUAAGCGACCC